UACGGAGGGUGCAAGCGUUACCCGGAAUCACUGGGCGUAAAGGGCGUGUAGGCGGGAUGUUAAGUCUGGUUUUAAAGACUGCGGCUCAACCGCAGGGAUGGACUGGAUACUGGCAUUCUUGACCUCUGGAGAGAGAACUGGAAUUCCUGGUGUAGCGGUGGAAUGCGUAGAUACCAGGGGAACACCAAUGGCGAAGGCAGGUUCUUGGACAGAAGGUGACGCUGAGGCGCGAAAGUGUGGGGAGCGAACCGG
rnacentral:rRNA from 1 species